rnacentral:lncRNA from 1 species
UCCAAUUUCCCUAAUUAUUAUUUUAGGGUUCCUGGAUAGUGAUUGUUGGAGAAGAAACAAUAUAAUGGCGUCGAUGUCAAUUGGAAUCACCAGCCUGGAAGUCCGAUACAUCGUUAAUUCCAUUGGUGAUGACAUCAAUAUGUAUUGAGCGUGCUGGACCAAUAAUUUCGUUGCCGAAGAAAGUAAGUAUACCCACCUCAAGGUCACUUAGAACACCUCUAAUUACCUGUCCAUAGUUGUCCUCUUCUUAGAGUCAAUUUUGUUGAACAUUUGGUACAGAUUGAUUAAUAUAUUUGCCUGUGUAGGUUUGUCGGUAGAAAAUUUUGAAUAUUUGUUCAUUUACCUGUCGAUUUCCAUGUAUUUGAUUAGAAAUGGAUGCGAUUUAUGAUGAGUUCUAUGCACAUGUAUCACUAGUUCCAUACAAUCAGGUAUUCUAGAUACUUAAAUUUAGUUCAUUUAUUUAAUACAAGCAUUGUCAGGGAUGAUUUUACUCUGUUUUUAGCAUUGCUAUUUGAUAGAUUAAAUUGGAGCUUUAUUCAAGCAGAAAAAAGUAUAGAAUGAGGCAAAAUAAAAUAAGUUGGUUGGCUAGGAAGGUGGUAUUACGAACGACCAAAAUGGUCCUUGAUAUAUGAGGGUUGGAGCUUUUUGGUCCUUUAUAUAUAUCAUCUUAUUGAAAUAGUCCUUGAUGUAUAAAAAAAAAGGUGACUAUUUUGGUCUUUCUUCUUUCACCACCAUUAGAGGUGAUGCUCCAUUUUCAGUUUACCCACUUGUCAUAUUCUUGUAAUAUAUAUAUACACACACACACACACUACACUCAUUUGUUAGUUUCCCUCAGAAAUAAUAAUCCCCAGCAACUCCCAUUUUUAGACAGACAAAAAAAUUGAUCCAUUAAAAUAAAUAGUAUGAACUAAGUAAAUUAGAUAAAACACUCUAUUUCUCUUUUACGAGAUCUCCGUAAGUAAACUCUUUUCAAGUUUUAAAUAACUAUUCUCUCUUGUUGAAGGGAUUUAUGAGAAGAAUAUAGCUUUUUCUUGUUUCGUCAUUUUUAAGAUUAAUUAAUAACUUUUUUAUGUAUUAAUUUUUUAUUCCGUUGUUGACAUUAAAGGGUGAAAACGGAAUGAAUAAAGGUGAAAAAUAGAAUCUUAAAAUUUUCUUUGAGAUUUGAAGAGAUUUUUGUGUGUCAGUUUUUUUUCCUGGGAAAAUUUGGUUUAAAAAAGAAGAAGGAGGUAAUGGAGAGAAGAAUAAAUCAAUUGAAAAUUGCAGCAGAAGAAAGAAGAUUGAGGGAGAAGGGGUUUGCCAUGUGGCAAUUUUAUGGGACCCACAGUUAAGUAUAACAAAAAGUAUCACUUGUAUAGUUAGUUUUAGGGUUAAAGACCAAAAUUGUCAUAUUUUAUAUAAUUAAGGACUAUUUUAGUAAGGUAAUAUAUAUAAAGGACCAAGAAUAUUCAAGCCCCAUACAUCAAGGACCAUUUUGGUCGUUUUCUUGUGGUAUUACCAUUAACUUGGAUAUGUCACUCUCCUUUAGAGUUCUUGUUAAUAAAGUAAGCACUUGUUGAAAUGUUUGUACAUAAUAGGACUGCAACUUAUUGAAAUGCUUGUCGCCAUAGGACAUGAAAUUGUUACUGAUAAAAAUCCCUCGAGCUUAGCUUUACAAUAUUUUCUAACAUUCUAAGUUUUGUAACUUCUUGCCAUGGGGAUAUAGGGCUUCUCAAUUCUUGUAAGAAUAUUUUCCACUAGAUAUUUUGACACUUAAUAUUAGGCAAGUGGUUUUAGAAUUGGAUUUUGCAUCUAACACAUGUCUAAUGUACGUUAGACUACUAACUUUAGAUAUUCAACUAUUUGCUAGUCUCAUUCUUUUUCAUUUUGAGAAAUUGUUAUAAUUUCUGAUUGUGAGAAUCUCAUUUUAACACAAUGCCUUCGCAAUUUGCAGAGUAUGUAAAGAAUGAUUACUACAUUACAGGAGAAUCAUAUGCUGGGCACAUUUUUUGUUUCUUAAAUUGCCUGCAAUAUGUGGUAUGCACGAUUAGAGUUAUUUUACAUUGAAUAUUGGUGCUAGUACUAUGCUCCUUUUCUCAGUUUGAUUGUCCCAGAAUGACAAGAUUUUUGUGCUUCUGCUAAAUAUGGAUGCAGCUUUUCCAUCUCGGUUGUUUUCUGGUAUUAGUUCUAACAUAUACUCCCUCUGUCCCAAUUUAUGUGACACAUUUCACUUUUCGAGAGUCAAACAGUUUAAGUUUGAUCGAGAAUUUGCUCAUGAAAUUUAUAUAUUUGUAAACUACACAAAAAGUACUAUAAGUCUCAUUAAUUGAUAAUACAAAAUAUUUUUAAAAUAUAGGAAAAAUUUACGGUCAAAGAUAGACAUGUUUGAAUCUCGAUAUCCGAAAUGUGUCACAUAAAUUGGGACUGAGGAAGAGUAUUAAAGAACAGUGGAAAACAUGUUAUAAAGCCAUUUGGAUUCCUUGUAACUGUGAAUUUUUGCUUAAAACUCCUCUCAAAACUGUUCAUAAGAAUGAUACAGUAAGUGCCAGUUUUGUUCUGCAUAUCUUCAUUUUUGCGUUUCUUUAUAUAAAAAACACUAAUAAUACAUUUUCUUAAAGGCAAAGAAGGAUCAUAAGAACACAAAGGAAACAAAAACAAGUAAACUUAGAGGGGACGAUAUCAGCAACUAAAGCAUUUUUCUUAAAACGGAGAAAUCGAUGAAAUGAAAAGUUAACCGAUCUGAUGAAAGUGACAGAUGGUUUAGAAUAUUGCAAAGUAUGUGUGUACAUAUUUCCUUGUAUUUUGUGAUAGCCAAGUGAAAACUUUUGUAAUCUAACUACUCGAACUGAAUUGAGAGCUUUCUAGAACAAAUUCACAUUGUUACCAAUGGCAAGUUUUCAUUUCAAUCAAUUGAUCUUUUACAGAAUAGAACUGAACCUAUAUAAAGGAAUUUCUCAUCAAUUAUUCUAUCUCUAACUCACACAUGAAUCACAUGCCUUUAACAGAAUGAAUAACAGAAAGUUAACAACCUAACAGAAAGCUAACAACCUAAUAACAGAAAGUUAACAACCUAACAGAAAGCUAACAACCUAAUAACAGAAAGUUAACAACCUAACAGAAAGCUAACAACCUAAUAACAGAAAGUUAACAACCUAACAGAAAGCUAACAACCUAAUAACAGAAAGUUAACAACCUAACAGAAAGCUAACAACCUAAUAACAGAAAGUUAACAACCUAACAGAAAGCUAACAACCUAAUAACAGAAAGUUAACAACCUAACAGAAAGCUAACAACCUAAUAACAGAAAGUUAACAACCUAACAGAAAGCUAACAACCUAAUAACAGAAAGUUAACAACCUAACAGAAAGCUAACAACCUAAUAACAGAAAGUUAACAACCUAACAGAAAGCUAACAACCUAAUAACAGAAAGUUAACAACCUAACAGAAAGCUAACAACCUAAUAACAGAAAGUUAACAACCUAACAGAAAGCUAACAACCUAAUAACAGAAAGUUAACAACCUAACAGAAAGCUAACAACCUAAUAACAGAAAGUUAACAACCUAACAGAAAGCUAACAACCUAAUAACAGAAAGUUAACAACCUAACAACUUGACCAUUCUAUAUCUCAUUCCUCCCCCUCAAACUGUAGGGUGGAAAACGUCUAACACACCAAGUUUGGUCAAUAGGAAAUGAUGUUGAGCAGAACCUAACCCCUUGGUGAAGAUAUCAGCAGGUUGCAUAGCAGUGCAUAUGUAUUGGGGACUGAUAAAAUUUGAUUUCACCUUCUCACGGAUGAAGUGACAAUCAAUUUCUAUGUGUUUUGUACGCUCAUGGAACACUGGAUUCUCUGCUAUUUGGAUAGCUGAUUUGCUGUCUGUGAAUACUAGUAUUGGACUUGCAACUGGACAAUGUAGCUCCUUGAGUAAACCAGCUAACCAAACUAACUCUGCAACUAGAGCUGCCAAACUCCUAUAUUCUGCUUCAGCAGAGCUUCGACUGACAGUCUGUUGUUUUUUCGACUUCCAAGAAAUCAAUGAAUCUCCAAGUCUUACCAUGUACCCUGUGACUGAUCGCCUUGUAUUAGGACAUGAAGCCCAAUCUGAAUCACAAUAUCCAGUGAGUUUUGAGGGUUCAGUUCCCUUUUUCAGCAAAACUCCAAGUCCUGGAGACCUCUUUAUGUAUCUCACAACUCUUUCCUUUAGCAACUAAAUGAGCUUUGUAUCUGUCGACCUCACCAUUUGCUUUAUACUUGAUUUUAUACACCCACUUUGAUCCAAUGGCCUUUUCACCAGGAGGCAACUCUGCAAUAGUCCAGGUACCAUUAUCUUCCAAUGCCUGAACUUCUUGAUGCAUGGCUUCAACCCAUAGUUUGUCUUGAGAGGCCUCAUGGUAUGACUGAGGCUCUACUACUGCAGAAAAUGCAUGUAAAUAAUUCUGAUAAUCAGUAGAGAUGUUGUCAUAGCAAACAUGAUUAGUUAUGGUAUGAGGGUGAGACUUUUGGGGCACAAUGUAGUCUUUAAUCCAUACUGGUGGUUUGAUAGCUCUGCUAGUCUUUCUAGGACCAAUAUUGUCUUGUUGAAUGUCAUCUGGAUGCACAAGGAUCAUCAACAGGUAUAAGGUCAGCUUCUGCAGGUUCCACCAUCAUCUCAGCUUCUGCAGGUUCCACCACAGUCUCAUUUAAUGCAUCAGUAGGAGGAAGAAUAGGUGAUGUUGGCUGCAUAAUGGGGCUGAUUAUAGUCAUGUGUACCUGCAUCAUCUAUAAAUGGUGAUAAUAAAGGAUAAGGUCCCUCAUCUGACUUCAGAAGCUUGAAAGGAAACACCUCAUCUCUGAAGACCACAUCCCUGCUAAUGAACACAAUUCUUGUAUCCAAAUCAUACAGUCUAUACCCCUUUUGUAUGGAAGAAAAGCCCAACAAGACUGAUCUCUUUGCUUUAGCCUCAAAUUUGUCUCCUCUGGGCAGUGUACUCGCAAAACACAAACAUCCAAAAACUUUAAUGUGUUCUAUACUAGGAGGUUUCCCAAAUAACACCUCAUAAGGAGACUGUCCAUCCAAAACACCAGUAGGUAAUCUGUUAAGAAGAUAGACUGAUGUUUGUAUAAUCACCCCAGAAUCUACUAGGCACAUGAGAUUGCAACUUCAAUGCUCGUCCUACCUCCAAAAUGUGUCUAUGUUUCCUUUCAACCACACCAUUUUGUUGUGGGGUAUAAGGACAACUACUUUGAUGCACAAUGCCUAAUGAAGAAAAUAAAGUAUUAACUUGACUAUUGAAGAACUCAGUACCAUCGUCUGAUCUCACAGUUUUUAUUGAACAGCCAAAUUGAUUACAGAUCAUAGAAAAGAAACUUUUCAAUACAGCUCCUACUUCUUUCUUGGACUGUAACAAAGAGACCCAUGUAAAUCUACUGUAGUCAUCAACUAUAGUCAAGAAGUAAUGCUUUCUAUCAUAGGUGGGAUGCUGGUGAGGACCCCAGACAUCCAUGUGCAUAAGCUGAAACAAACUACUGGAUUUAGUUAUACUAGAAGGAAACUUCAGUCUACAUUGCUUGGCCAAAGGACAAAUCAUGCAUUCUUCUUUUAUACCAACAUCUACUUUAUUCUUCAAAAUGGAAAUGUGCUUCAUUACUUUCACAGAGGGAUGCCCCAAUCUGAGAUGCCACAACUUCAAAUCUGUCAUCCUAGUAUUUGUAACUACUGCUCCUGCUACUGAGAGUGCUUCAUGCUUGAGAAUGUAAAGACCUUCUUCUUCCUUACCAAUCCCAAUCACCUCCCCAGUAUUGAGAGCCUGCAUUGUACAUAGGUUAGGAUAAAAAGACACCACACAAUUCAGGUCCUUAGUCAGCUUAGAAACUGACAGCAGAUUGAAUCUAAAUUCUGGUACAUGUAGCACAUUUUCCAGCUUGUAUUUUUCCAAAAUCACUGCAUUUCCAAUGUGAUCUAUUUGGAUUUUAUUCCCUGUAGGUACUUGCACUUUAUUAGGAUUUGACUCUGUUAAGUGUUUGCAAUCAUGAAGAAUCUUAUCACAAUAAGUAACAUGAUGUGUAGCCCCAGAAUCAAUGAUCCACUUCAAAUUUGCUACAUUCACAUUAUCAUGAUUAACAUUCAUACCUGUAACUGCAUUCGCUUUACAACUUCCUGUGGGCUGAGAAACCAUCAUCUUCAGCACUUGAUCAUAGUGUUCCUUUGUGAAAUAACCACCUGGAAAAUGGAAGUGAGAAGAAUUACCUCCUCCUGAAGUAGAUGAGCCAGCUUCAGCUGUUGAUACAUGAGCAUGAGACAUGAUAUCCUCAUCAGUAGACACUCUCCUUUUGCUUUUGAAAUCAGUAGGAAAACCUACAAUCCUGUAGCAAGUCUCUUUUGUAUGGCCUUUGUAUCCACAGUGUUCACAGAUCACACCUGAUUUCCUUCCUUGUGAGACAUGAGCUUGAUUCUUCUUCGACUGAGAAGUAUUAGGUGGAUACUGAGAAUUUUGUGGCUGAUUAUUGAAUCUCGAACCUCUUCCUGCUAGCAUAGUCAUUGGAUCCUUUCCUCCUUCCAUCAAACCUAGCUUCCUUUGGCUUUCCUCUUGAAUAGCCAUUGCAUAGGCUUGAUUCACACUUGGGACUGGUGAACCAAGCAGAAUUGAACUCCUGACUUGAGCAUAGCUCUCAUUCAAUCCUACUAAAAAUUGCAAUAACCUCUGUUGUCUAAUGUGCUCAACAUAAGAAUUCAACUCAUGAAAAAUUCCACAAAUGAAAAAUUCUAGUCAAGUUAGAUUUAUCAAACCUCUCCUUGAAGUCGCUCCAGAUCUUCCUCGCACUCGAUGCAUACACAAUGCUGGUUAAUAGCUCUGGUGCUACUGUUGCACUGAUCCACGAUAACACAACUGCAUCACACCUUUCCCAUCUGAUUGCCAAAUCUCCUUUGUACGUGCUCUUAACACAGGUGCCAUCAACAAAUCCAAGUUUGUUUUUUACUAGUAGUGCAAGGCGCAUUGAUCUACUCCACAGUCCAUAAUUCUAUGGACCUGUAAGCUUCAUUGGAAUUAAGGCAACACCAGGGGUAUCAGAUGACUGUAGAUGUGAGUCUGGUGGCUCAACUUCUAAACUUUCUAUAUCUAAUUUAGGGCGAAAUCCUAAAAUUGAGAGAAACUGGGAAGCGAUAGGAGAAGAGAAGUAUGGAUGCAGAAAGGAUAGUGACAUUACUAACCACGGAACUGCUCCCAUUUCUACUGAAAAGGAACCGAUAUAGACCUGGCGUUUGAGAACUAAGUAUUAGAUAAACUGGAAUGAGGGAGGGUUGGGGUUGGGGUCGGGGUAAGUGAAAACUUUUGUAAUCUAACUACUCGAACUGAAUUGAGAGCUUUCUAGAACAAAUUCACAUUGUUACCAAUGGCAAGUUUUCAUUUCAAUCAAUUGAUCUUUUACAGAAUAGAACUGAACCUAUAUAAAGGAAUUUCUCAUCAAUUAUUCUAUCUCUAACUCACACAUGAAUCACAUGCCUUUAACAGAAUGAAUAACAGAAAGUUAACAACCUAACAGAAAGCUAACAACCUAAUAACAGAAAGUUAACAACCUAACAACUUGACCAUUCUAUAUCUCAAUACAAGGUAAGUACAACAACAAACAUAAUAGUAGGCCAUUUGUGACAGUAUUCCCUUUGUUCUUUACUAAAUGAGUUUAGCUUAUAAUCUCAAUGGUCUAAAAUGACGCAUUAUGUUUAACAUUUGUGUCAUGAAAAGACUUACUUUGGUCUAAAAUGAUGCAUCAUGUUUAACAUUUGUGUCGUUCGACUUAGUUUAUUUUAAAUAACGAGUUUUUUAAAUCUUCGGUUAUGAUAUAUUCAUCUACUUUUGCUUGAUAUGAUGGCUCGUCUUGUCCUAAACAUAUUAUCUUCUUUCUCUGUUGAUGAUUGCAGGAAAUAGAGAAUUGAAAUGUAUUUUAUAUCUAUGUUUGAGAACUUGCAAAUUACCUGAUUUUGCUUUAUAUUGUGUUGGCAAAAUUUAUCACAGCCAACAAUAUUACCGAUGUCUCUAAGCCUUAAAGUAAUAGAAGAGUAGAUCUCGAAUGCAGAAUCUUGAAUAUAUGUUGAUACAACGAAAGGUUUAAAUAGCCAGGUUAGUUAGUUUCAUUGACUUCACACCCC